UACGGAGGGUGCGAGCGUUGUCCGGAAUCACUGGGCGUAAAGGGCGCGUAGGCGGCCUGGCAAGUCGGUGGUGAAAGCUCGGGGCUCAACUCAGAGUCGGCCAUCGAUACUGCGAGGCUCGAGUCGACUAGAGGCAGAUGGAAUUCCGGGUGUAGCGGUGGAAUGCGUAGAGAUCGUAAGGAAGACCAGUGGCGAAGGCGAGUCUCUGGACAGAUUCUGACGCUGAGGCACGAAGGCCAGGGGAGCAAACCGG
rnacentral:rRNA from 1 species